UCUUUCCCCCCUUUCAUACAAUAUAUAAUUCCAAGCCCUCACUGUUCACAAAGUUUCCAAGAACUGUAUUUAGACAAAAUGUAAACUGGCAUAUUUUCCAUUCACUUCAUGGAAAUAUUCCGAACCACUCUUGCAAGCAGCUGAAGAUGUGCUUUUAUCUUGCCAUGAAGUCAUAAAGUUUAAUUUGCAACAUCACAGUUGCUUCUAUGGCAACAGAUGGUGACAUCAAACACAGGAUCAUGACUUCACUAUAGGAUCAAGAAGGAUUAGCUUUGCACCGAGGAACUAGAGCCUACCCUGGGUGGGACAGCAUGUGCAAUCAAAUAAUCAGCUUCCCCUGAGGAAAAAUAUGGAGAUGGAUCUCUCCAGGACACAGCUGAGUCUGAUGGCAGGAUAUGGAAAUCCACAUUCUGCAGCUGUUGCAAGGACUCUUGCAGGCCCAGCCCUCAGCACGUUGA